UGUGGGAGCGAGCUUGCUCGCGAUGACGGUGAGUCAGCCAGCAAUCAUGUUGACUGACCCACCGUCAUCGCGAGCAAGCUCGCUCCCACA
rnacentral:misc_RNA from 1 species